CGCGAAUGGCUCAUUACAACAGCUAUAAUUUACUUGAUCUUGACACUAUCCUACUUGGAUAACUGUGGUAAUUCUAGAGCUAAUACACGCAAUAAAGCUCCGACCUUACGGGACGAGCGCAUUUAUUAGACCAAAACCAAUCGGGCUUCGGCCUGAGCCGUUGGUGACUCUGAAUAACUGAGCUGAUCGCAUGGUCUUUGUACCGGCGACGCAUCUUUCAAGUGUCUGCCUUAUCAACUUUCGAUGGUAGUUUAUGUGCCUACCAUGGUUGUUACGGGUAACGGAGAAUAAGGGUUCGACUCCGGAGAGGGAGCCUGAGAAACGGCUACCACAUCCAAGGAAGGCAGCAGGCGCGCAAAUUACCCACUCUCGGCACGAGGAGGUAGUGACGAAAAAUAACGAGGCGGUUCUCUAUGAGGCCCGCUAUCGGAAUGGGUACAAUUUAAACCCUUUAACGAGGACCUAUGAGAGGGCAAGUCUGGUGCCAGCAGCCGCGGUAAUUCCAGCU
rnacentral:rRNA from 1 species